AGCAUCCAAGGAGAGUGCGGGCAGCUGGAGCCAGGUCCUCCUCCUCCUCCUUCUCCUCCUCUUCUUCCUCCUCCGUCUUUUCUUCCUUUCCUCCUCCUCCUGCCUACUGCAGAGCAGCAGAAAGCAAAAGAGCUAGAAAAGGGUGAAAUCAAUUCUUUUUCUGUAACUUUUUGCUUUGCUUUUAUUAAGUUCUUAAGUCUUUUGGUCUUGAGUCUUAGAUAAGAUGCAAAUAAUUCUGAAGUUAGCACUGCCUCUAAGGUCUCCUGCAAUUCACCCACUCACUCCUCUUACUCCAUCAUAUUCAACUUCUAAACUAAGAGGAAAGCCUGAGCUAGAGGUCCUAUGCAUCAAUCAGGGAAGAGAUAUUGAGAAGAAUUAACAGAGAAACUGUAUUUUUUCUCUCGACUAAAACAUCCAUUUUAAUCAAUAUUUGGCAAGAAAAUAUCUACCUGUUUCAUCUUCACUGGUUAUUUCAAUAAACUGGAAAGAAUGACUGUCUAAAUGGUAGUUAUGUCCCAUGAG